rnacentral:rRNA from 1 species
GAACACCAAUGGCGAAGGCAGGUCUCUGGGCCGUUACUCACGCUGAGGAGCGAAAGCGUGGGGAGCGAACAGGAUUAGAUACCCUGGUAGUCCACGCUGUAAACGGUGGAUGCUCGAUGCGGGGUUAUUUCUCGGAUCCUGUGUCGGAGCUAACGCGUUAAGCAUCCCCCCUGGCCGACUCGGAUCCCAAGGUUAAAGAUCAAAGAAAUUCACGGGGGCCGGCGCACGCGCGGGACCGUUUAUUAAUCGAUAGCACGCGAAGAACCUUACCCUGGCUUAUCAUGUGCCGGACGCCCGCGGAGACGGGGUUCCCUUUGGGGCCGGUUCACAGAUGGUGCCAAUGGUCGUCCCCUGCCGUCGUGAGAUGUUGGGUUAAGUCCCGCAACGUCCCCACCCCCCGCGGGGUUUUCCCAUCGGGCAUGCCCGCAACUUACGUUGGUCCCCCGGGGUUAACUCGGAGGAAGGUGGGGAUGACGUCAGAUCAUCAUGCCCCUUACGUCCAGGGCUUCACGCAUGCUACAAUGGCCGGUACAACGGGGUGCGACACGGUGACGUGGGGCGGAUCCCUGAAAACCGGUCUCAGUUCGGAUCGCAGUCUGCAACUCGACUGCGUGAAGGUGGAGUCGCUAGUAAUCGCGGAUCAGCAACGCCGCGGUGAAUGCGUUCCCGGGCCUUGUACACACCGCCCGUCAAGUCAUGAAAGUGGGCAGCACCCGAAGACGGUGGCCUAACCCUUGUGGGGGGA